rnacentral:tRNA from 1 species
ACCUUCGUAGUGUAGUGGUCAGCACCUUCAACGCGUAUUCGAGAGGUCCGUGGUUCGAGUCCCGGCGAGGGCG